rnacentral:rRNA from 1 species
CAGUCGCCACGGGAACACGCAGGUCCCGAGCGUUGUCCGGAUUUAUUGGGCGUAAAGGGAGCGCAGGCGGUUUAGUAAGUCUGAAGUUAAAGGCAUUGGCUCAACCAAUGUAUGCUUUGGAAACUGUUAGACUUGAGUGCAGAAGGGGAGAGUGGAAUUCCAUGUGUAGCGGUGAAAUGCGUUGAGAUCGGAAAGAACACCAACGGCGAAAGCACUCUGCUGGGCCGACACUGACACUGAGAGACGAAAGCUAGGGGAGCAAAUGGGAUUAGAUACCCCGGUAGUCCCUGUCUCUUAUACA